rnacentral:rRNA from 1 species
CCUACGGGGGGCAGCAGUGGGGAAUAUUGCACAAUGGGGGAAACCCUGAUGCAGCGACGCCGCGUGAGUGAGGAAGUAUUUCGGUAUGUAAAGCUCUAUCAGCAGGGAAGAAAAUGACGGUACCUGUCUAAGAAGCCCCGUCUAACUACGGGCCAGCAGCCGCGGGAAUACGUAGGCGGCAAGCGUUAUCCGGAUUUACUGGGUGUAAAGGGAGCGUAGACGGUUAAUCAAGUCAGAAGUGAAAACCUAGGGCUCAACCUUGGGACUGCUUUUGAAACUGAGUAGCUAGAGUGCAGGAGAGGUAAGCGGAAUGCGUGGUGUAGCGGUGAAAUGCGUAGAUAUUAGGAAGAACACCAGUGGCGAAGGCAGCUUACUGGACUGUAACUGACGUUGAGGCUCGAAAGCGUGGGGAGCAAACAGGAUUAGAUACCCGUGUAGUC